ACACUCCGCAGGGUUCUGAAUAGGCAGUUGUGGCCCACAGGCCACUGGCAAGCAGAGGCAGAGCCACAGAGGGGCUGCUCGUCCCCAAAUGUCUCUCUAGCUGCUCUGGAGCUGCUAGGGGCUGCUGUGCUGGUGACGGCUGAGAUCAUGAGAAGAGCCCCGGGGGUCCCUGGGCAUCCCUGGGAGGUCCAUGGAGAAGGUGGAACACUGGACUAAAGAGACAGGCUGAGGAAGCCCUCAAGUCACCCCUGAUGGAGGCCAGACCUUGAAUGUUACAAUCCCUCUGCUUAUCAACCCUUAAUAAAAAUCUGAGCAAGUCUUCUCUGCAUGACACAGGAGGCUUUCUGGAAAAAAAAAAAAAACAUGGAAAAGUGAAUCUCCUAAGCAUUCCCAAGUGAUUGAUGCAGGACACAUCUUAAAAGGAUGAAAGGAGGAUGGAGGAAAACUUCAGAAGGAAAUAACAGACAGUUUGAAUGAAAACAUCUAUUUUGCAGAAAGUCCGGAAGUGCUCGACCAAGAGAUUGCGAGAUGGAAGCAGAGAGUACAGGAAAGGAAGGAGGAGAAAGAAAGGCUGGAAACCUUUGAAUGCACAAAUAAAACAGGUCAUGAAAGAUACCAUGAGCCAAUUAAAAUCUCUGGCUGAAAAUUUGCUGGACACCGUGCAGUUGGAAGAUUUCACUAGGGACCGCAGUGAUGAGGGGAACUUGGAAGCAGAGCUGAAGAGGAAAGCAGAAAAUGAAGAAACCACCCCCCUUAAAAAUUAAGUAAAUUUUGUUAAAGUUAUGUGCAUACAUUCUGUAUAUACAGAAAAGAUAUCUAAAUUGUAUGCACACAGAAGGAGCAUUGCCCCCACAAGGAAGAGUUCAUCCUAAAUGGUGCAGAUGAAGAGACUUUGACAAAGGAAUUUUCCUGAGCUGUGGGCAGGGAUGAGAGCUCAGACAAGUGAUGGGAAGCCUCCCAGAUGCCAAGGCUUCCCACCCCCAGGUUUCAAGGGAGGAGAGAGGAAGUGAUGUCAUCUGAGCCCAAUGAGGCCCUGUCAAGGGACCAGGGAAAACUGCCCCCACUUUUUGCUCCCAUCCUCUCAUUGACUGCAGGUGCACAGGCAGCUGCCUGAAAGAGGGCCUGUGAAGUGCAAGCCAGAGGAGUUGGCCUCCAGGGCACAGAGCAGGCAGAAAACAAAUUUGGAGAAUGACCAGCACUCUUGGGUUUAUUUGACUGAAAGUGCUUGUUUUAUUGCAUUCAUUCACAUCCAUUUAUUUAAUAAAUAUCCAUGGAGCGUCUAUCAUGUCUUCUGCACUGUUCUAGGGGCUUGGGAUGCAAAGAUGAAAAAUACCAACCCGAUGAGGCCUGCAGACCCCUAGAACUUACAUUUUGGUGAUGGGCAAGGUCAGGUAAUAAAAGACAAGCAAGUGAUGGGAAUAUGUGCUCUGCAGACAUUUGCAAUCCAGUGAUGGGAGAACAGGGGCUAUGGGAGAGCACCCAGGAGGCAACAUUUAACCUGAGAUCUAAAGAGGAGUACAAAGGACCACAGACUGGAGGUCACACUGGGGAAGCAGCCAUGGAGAAUGCACUCUGCCUAAACACAGAAACAGCUUGUACAAGGAAUAGCCUGAAGAUAAGGUCAAAGGCUUCAAAUCAUGAACCAACUCACGAGCUCCGGACAAGCUCAUUUGUCCCAGGAGCAGGAUGUCCAAGGGCUCAGUGAAUCUUAGUGAACACAUUAAAUACAAAUACACCUUAUGUCU